AAACUGCGAAUGGCUCAUUAUAUAAGUUAUCGUUUAUUUGAUAAUACCUUACUACUUGGAUAACCGUGGUAAUUCUAGAGCUAAUACAUGCUAAAAAUCCCGACUUCGGAAGGGGUGUAUUUAUUAGAUUAAAAGCCAAUGCCCCCCGGGCUCUCUGGUGAUUCAUGAUAACUGCUCGAAUCGCCUGGCCUUGUGCCGGCGAUGGCUCAUUCAAAUUUCUUCCCUAUCAACUUUCGAUGUUCGGGUAGUGGCCAAACAUGGUUGCAACGGGUAACGGAGGGUUAGGGCUCGACCCCGGAGAAGGAGCCUGAGAAACGGCUACUACAUCCAAGGAAGGCAGCAGGCGCGCAAAUUACCCAAUCCCGAUACGGGGAGGUAGUGACAAUAAAUACUGAUACAGGGCUCUUUUGGGUCUUGUAAUUGGAAUGAGUACAAUUUAAAUCCCUUAACGAGGAACAAUUGGAGGGCAAGUCUGGUGCCAGCAGCCGCGGUAAUUCCAGCUCCAAUAGCGUAUAUUAAAGUUGUUGUGGUUAAAAAGCUCGUAGUUGAACCUUGGGCCUGGCUGGCCGGUCCGCCUCACCGCGUGCACUGGUCCGGCCGGGCCUUUCCCUCUGUGGAACCCCAUGCCCUUCACUGGGCGUGGCGGGGAAACAGGACUUUUACUUUGAAAAAAUUAGAGUGCUCCAGGCAGGCCUAUGCUCGAAUACAUUAGCAUGGAAUAAUGGAAUAGGACGUGCGGUUCUAUUUUGUUGGUUUCUAGGACCGCCGUAAUGAUCAAUAGGGACAGUCGGGGGCAUCAGUAUUCAAUUGUCAGAGGUGAAAUUCUUGGAUUUAUUGAAGACUAACUACUGCGAAAGCAUUUGCCAAGGAUGUUUUCAUUAAUCAGGAACGAAAGUUAGGGGAUCGAAGACGAUCAGAUACCGUCGUAGUCUUAACCAUAAACUAUGCCGACUAGGGAUCGGACGAUGUUAUUUUUUGACUCGUUCGGCACCUUACGAGAAAUC
rnacentral:rRNA from 1 species